CAGGUCACUCCUACGGGAGGCAGCAGUAAGGAAUAUUGGUCAAUGGACGCAAGUCUGAACCAGCCAUGCCGCGUGGAGGAUGAAGGCCCUCUGGGUUGUAAACUUCUUUUAUCUGGGACGAAAAAGGGACUUUCUAGUUCAACUGACGGUACCAGAGGAAUAAGCACCGGCUAACUCCGUGCCAGCAGCCGCGGUAAUACGGAGGGUGCAAGCGUUAUCCGGAUUCACUGGGUUUAAAGGGUGCGUAGGUGGGUUGGUAAGUCAGUGGUGAAAUCUCCAGGCUUAACUUGGAAACUGCCAUUGAUACUAUUAAUCUUGAAUACCGUGGAGGUCAGCGGAAUAUGUCAUGUAGCGGUGAAAUGCUUAGAUAUGACAUAGAACACCAAUUGCGAAGGCAGCUGGCUACACGAAUAUUGACACUGAUGCACGAAAGCGUGGGGAUCAAACAGGAUUAGAUACCCUGGUAGUCCACGCCCUAAACGAUGGAUACUCGACAUACGCGAUAUACUGUGUGUGUCUGAGCGAAAGCAUUAAGUAUCCCACCUGGGAAGUACGAUCGCAAGAUUGAAACUCAAAGAAUUGACG
rnacentral:rRNA from 1 species